GAUGCUCCUUAAUCUCUUCUGGCUUUUUAAGUCACCUGUGCCUAUUCAAAAGGAUGUUGAAGGCAAGCAUGAAUCGAGAUCUCUAGAGAACUAACAAUCAAAGAUUUUCUUGAAACUUGGAUUGAGGAAGGUGAGAAGAUGAGACCAAAGGCCUCCCACGUUUGACUAGGAUUAUUGCACCUUUUUCCCUGACACAUAUUCUUUGAUUUAGUGACAUUGAAGUCCUGACUAUUCCAUGAACAAGACACCACAUCUGUCAGCUCCAGGUAUUAACUCUGGCUAUCUGCUAUCCCUGAAAUAUUAUCUCUCUUCAAUUCAGCCUACUGAUUUUUUCAAAUCUUAAAUAAA